UACGUAGGUGGUAAGCGUUGUCCGGAUUUAUUGGGUUUAAAGGGUGCGUAGGCGGCCCUGUAAGUCAGUUGUGAAAUACGGCAGCUUAACUGUCGAGGUGCAAUUGAUACUGCAGGGCUUGAGUACUGAUGAGGUAGGCGGAAUGGACGGUGUAGCGGUGAAAUGCUUAGAGAUCGUCCAGAACACCGAUAGCGAAGGCAGCUUACUAAGGAGUAACUGACGCUGAGGCACGAAAGUGUGGGGAUCAAACAGG
rnacentral:rRNA from 1 species